rnacentral:rRNA from 1 species
CCUACGGGAGGCUGCAGUGGGGAAUAUUGCGCAAUGGGCGAAAGCCUGACGCAGCGACGCCGCGUGAGGGAUGAAGGUCUUCGGAUCGUAAACCUCUGUCAGCAGGGAAGAACGGUCACUGUGCUAAUCAGCAGUGAAUUGACGGUACCUGCAAAGGAAGCACCGGCUAACUCCGUGCCAGCAGCCGCGGUAAUACGGAGGGUGCGAGCGUUAAUCGGAAUUACUGGGCGUAAAGCGCUCGUAGGCGGUAUGUCAAGUCAAGGGUGAAAUCCCCGCGCUCAACGUGGGAACUGCCUUUGAAACUGGCAGACUGGAGUGUGUGAGAGGAUAGUGGAAGUCCAGGUGUAGGGGUGAAAUCCGUAGAUAUCUGGAGGAACAUCAGUGGCGAAGGCGACUAUCUGGCACAUAACUGACGCUGAGGAGCGAAAGCGUGGGUAGCAAACAGGAUUAGAGACCCUUGUAGUC